GCGGCAUCAUCAAGAUUCACA
rnacentral:miRNA from 1 species